GAUGAACGCUGGCGGCGUGCCUAAUACAUGCAAGUCGAACGAGGUGCUUUUGUAGCAAUACGAGAGUAUCCUAGUGGCGAACGGGUGAGUAACGCGUUGGUGACCUACCCCAAAGUGUGGAAUAACAGUCCGAAAGGAUUGCUAAUACCGCAUGUGGUUAUCGGGUUUAGAAACUGAUAACUAAAGGAGCAAUUCGCUUUGGGAGGGACCUGCGUCCCAUCAGCUAGUUUGUGAGGUAAUGGCUCACCAAGGCUACGACGGGUAGGGGACCUGAGAGGGUGACCCCCCACAAUGGAACUGAAACACGGUCCAUACACCUACGGGUGGCAGCAGUAGGGAAUAUUGCACAAUGGGCGAAAGCCUGAUGCAGCAACGCCGCGUGCACGAUGAAGGCCUUCGGGUCGUAAAGUGCUUUUCUGGGAGAUGAGAAAGGACAGUAUCCCAGGAAUAAGUCUCGGCUAACUACGUG
rnacentral:rRNA from 1 species